GCGCUCGCUGGUGGAGUGGAUGUAGCGGGCGGAACUUGGCGUUCCCGUCCUGUGGGAGAUUGGCGGGGGAGGGCUGGCCUGCCAGGUCAGCUCCAACGCGGGAGGUGCGACUAUUGCCGAAGGAAUGAGCAGGUCUCGGCUGGAUCAGAGGAGAAGCCAAGUCUAUCAGCUGCAAGAGAGAAGUGACGGAGGUGAAGCGCGCACCCACGUGGCCCUGCCCAGCCCGUCGACCCCGCAGGCUGGCUCCCUGAGCACCAGGCUGCCUGAGAGCCGGCUCUGCCGUGGCUCGGUCCCGUAACUGCUGGGCACUGGGGAUCCUGGAGGGGAACUGCCAUGACCCCUGCCCUCAGGGAAAUGCCGGGUGUUCCUGGGCAGGAGUCCUCACCAGGGCUGGUGUCCUCUGAGCUCACGCCACUAAAGCAGGGGAUGAAUCUUCAGGUGGCUGUGCUCCAUCCAGUGCAGCUUUUGAAAAGGCAAAAUCCCUCUUCUCUGGAGAAAAGUUAAGUGCCUGUGGCACAGAAGAUGGAGAAAAACUUGCAUCAGGGGACAAGCCUGAG